rnacentral:rRNA from 1 species
GGCGGACGGGUGAGUAACGCGUGGGAAUCUGCCCUCAGGAGGGGGAUAACGGUUGGAAACGACCGCUAAUACCCCAUAUGCCGAAAGGUGAAAUGAAUUUCGCCUGAGGAUGAGCCCGCGUCUGAUUAGCUAGUUGGUAAGGUAAAGGCUUACCAAGGCUUCGAUCAGUAGCUGGUCUGAGAGGAUGAUCAGCCACACUGGGACUGAGACACGGCCCAGACUCCUACGGGAGGCAGCAGUGGGGAAUUUUCCGCAAUGGGCGAAAGCCUGACGGAGCAACGCCGCGUGAGGGACGAAGGCCUCUGGGCUGUAAACCUCUUUUCUCAAGGAAGAAGAUAUGACGGUACUUGAGGAAUAAGCCACGGCUAAUUCCGUGCCAGCAGCCGCGGUAAUACGGGAGUGGCAAGCGUUAUCCGGAAUUAUUGGGCGUAAAGCGUCCGCAGGCGGCCUUUCAAGUCUGCUGUUAAAGCGUGGAGCUUAACUCCAUUAUGGCAGUGGAAACUGAUAGGCUUGAGUAUGGUAGGGGCAGAGGGAAUUCCCGGUGUAGCGGUGAAAUGCGUAGAUAUCGGGAAGAACACCAGUGGCGAAGGCGCUCUGCUGGGCCAUUACUGACGCUCAUGGACGAAAGCCAGGGGAGCGAAAGGGAUUAGAUACCCCUGUAGUCCUGGCCGUAAACGAUGAACACUAGGUGUCGGGGGAAUCGACCCCUUCGGUGUCGUAGCUAACGCGUUAAGUGUUCCGCCUGGGGAGUACGCACGCAAGUGUGAAACUCAAAGGAAUUGACGGGGGCCCGCACAAGCGGUGGAGUAUGUGGUUUAAUUCGAUGCAACGCGAAGAACCUUACCAGGGUUUGACAUCCUGCGAACCUCUUAGAAAUUUGAGGGUGCCUUCGGGAAUGCAGUGACAGGUGGUGCAUGGCUGUCGUCAGCUCGUGUCGUGAGAUGUUGGGUUAAGUCCCGCAACGAGCGCAACCCACGUUUUUAGUUGCCAGCAUUUAGUUGGGCACUCUAGAAAGACCGCCGGUGAUAAACCGGAGGAAGGUGUGGAUGGCGUCAAGUCAUCAUGCCCCUUACACCCUGGGCUACACACGUACUACAAUGCUACGGACAAAGGGCAGCAAACUCGCGAGAGCUAGCAAAUCCCAUAAACCGUGGCUCAGUUCAGAUCGUAGGCUGCAACUCGCCUACGUGAAGUAGGAAUCGCUAGUAAUCGCAGGUCAGCAUACUGCGGUGAAUACGUUCCCGGGCCCUGUACACACCGCCCGUCACACCAUGGAAGUUGGCCAUGCCCGAA